GAAGAUAUAGUCAGUGCAGUCUAGAGAUAGAU
rnacentral:autocatalytically_spliced_intron from 1 species